AUGCCCAGUGAUUAUAAAAAGACGCGUUAUUCUGAGGAACACAACCAGCUGCCAGUCGUUCUUAUUCCUCUGACUCUGUCUUUGAUCUCACUCUUUUCUCUCAUUCCUCCUCCUCCUCCUCCUCUCUUCUUCAAAACUGGUAGCUGGACCGCUGACUGCGAUUAUGAGAUAUGAGGGCAU
rnacentral:snoRNA from 1 species